rnacentral:pre_miRNA from 1 species
AUCAUGAGAAUUAAGCUAUUUCAGUUGAGGGGAAUGUUGUCUGGAUCGAGGAUAUUAUACAUAUAUACAUGUGUAUGUUGAUACAUGUGAUCAUAGAGAGUAUCCUCGGACCAGGCUUCAUCCCCCCCAACAUGUUAUUGCCUCUGAU